GACAUAUCAUUGUAAAGAGCUCGUCUGCGCAGCAUAUAAGAAGCACAUGGUCCGCUAUAACAUAAUGAAAAUGGUAAGGUUUUCAUUUCACAUAUAACAAAUAUCUCAUCUAUUCCGUAGAGCUGAAAAUAAAAACUAAAAUAUAGCUAAUCCAAGAUGGAUAAUCGCAUAAUUCCUCAAAAAUUAUAUACCUCAAUAAUAACUAAUUACUGAUUCUUUUGAAGUUCAGAAUCAACUGGAAAAUUGAGACCCUUUUAGGUAACAGAAUAUCUACAUUUUUUUCCUAUUUGGCAACCAUUUCUCCUAAGCAUACAGCUGCAAUGAGAAAUGGUCAUAUCUUUACUGCAAUGAGAAUGGUCAUAUCUUUACUCAUAAUAAUAAGCUCAUGAAGGAUAGGAACUGCUAUUUCAAAGAAACAGACACUGCAAUGUCAAGCAGUGGAGCAAUUUCAUUCAUCCAACUCUGCUUAUUCAGAAAGUAAUAAGCAUGACAAACUUACGGCCAAAACACUAGGAAUCAUAUCCCUUACUGACAAAGAGUCUAAUUCAUUUAGAAAAGAAUCCGCUAUUAGAAAUUAGCCAAACAAACGUUCCGUCACAAACAGAUACAAAAAAAGCAAACAAAGAUCCAAAGGCUAUGUCAAACAAAAAAAGAUGAGAGAUGAGAGAACUUACCAAAACAGUGCGAAACAGCAAUCUGUACGUUAGAGGGACAAAAAAUAAUCAGAGAAGCUCUAAAAAAAGUAACAUAAAAAAUUGAUCAGUGACUCAAUUUUCUAUUUGGUCACUGGGAAAACAAAGAAGUAGUAAUAAAUUCUACAUAAAAAAAUAAAAAUCUCAUGUUCUCAAGCAUAAAAAUUCAUAAUACUCAGUUGAGAGUAGCUCUAAAAUGUGACUUUAGUGUUUCUAAUUUUUCAAUUGUUUCCUCUUCCUACAUUUUUACAAAGAACCAAUCAGUGCAGAGCUAAAAGAACAACAGAGCAACAAAACGAGAAACAAGAGUUAGUCCCAUGGCAGAUGAGAAGAAAGGAGAAAAUAUAAAUUAAAUUACACGGAAUUUUACGUUUAAGCAAAAUCUCAAAGUCAAACUACGCCAAAAGGUAGAAUUAUGAUUACUUUACGGAGUUUCAUUUUCCAGGAAGCCAAACAGAUCAUUUUCUUUUUAGCGAAAAGAGGACAUCUUAAAAAAUGAAAUUAAACGGAAACUAAAUAUGGCCACAAAUGAAUACUAAUAGAAACUCUCGAUCCAGUGGAGCUACUCUCUUCCUAUAUAUCUUUUGUCUUCAACACAAAAUAAUGAUCUCAUUCACAGAUCAAAACUAACGCAAAAAAUAAAAAUUCUCAACUCAAAAUCGCAAUUAUGAAUGGCGUUAUAAAACGAAGCUGAUGAAUUUUCUCAGGCAGCCAAACAAAAACUUAAGACAUUUAGUGAAUUAAACGAUGAGGAAAAAGAUAAAAAAGGAAAUGGAAAUAGAUGAAUACAAGGAGUGUCGGCAACGACAGUGCUCAAGAGAUCUGUGUGCCAGAAAUUCCUGUAACUCUGACGCAUCUGCAUUUUCUCAACCCGAUCGUCCAGCCCCAUUUUCCUUGCGAUCCAAAGAGAAAAACCAAAAAUAAUAACAAUAAGUCUACUGCUUUUGCAAAGAAACUAAUGGGGGAGAUAGAGAAGGAGGAAGAGGAAGGGGGAAAGAGAGAGAAGUUUGGAAACGGAAUUGAAGCGUCAAAGACGACUCUUAAAUAUAAAAUAAGGGGCCAUGGUCAUCAAACAAGUGCGCAAGAAGGAAACGCUAAAGGAGAAAGAGCAGCCGUUCGUUUUGGAAGUUGCAC
rnacentral:misc_RNA from 1 species